rnacentral:rRNA from 1 species
AUGUCUUCAUCAACUACAGUAAGUGCUUUCUCAGAUGCAGAUUGGGCAGGAUGCCCAGAUGAUAGAAAGUUCACAGGGGGCUUUGCAGUGUUUCUUGGCUCCAACCUUGUAUCAUGGCAAGCAAAGAAACAAGCAACUGUCUCACGUUCCAGUAUUGAGGCAGAGUACAAGUCACUAGCAAAUGCUACUGCUGAGGUAAUGUGGGUGGAAACACUACUUGAUGAAUUGGGUGUCUAUAGACCACAUGUGUCACGCCUAUGGUGUGAUAAUCUAGGAGCAACAUAUCUUUCUGGAAAUCUUGUGUUUCAUGCAGGAACAAAACACAUAGAGAUUAAGUUUCAUUUUGUUCGAGAAAGAGUUGCUCAGAAAAACUUAGAGAUCAAUUUUAUUCCAACUGGAGAUCAAGUAGCUGAUGGUUUUACCAAACCACUACAAGUUCGACAGCUUCAAGGCUUCAGAAACAAUCUAAACCUUGAUGUUUGA